ensembl:lncRNA
GGCAGGAGCUGCCCUAUGGGGCUGUGCUACGGGCCAGGAGCUGUGCUAUGGGGCUGCAGCUGUCCUAUGGGGCUGCACUGUGGGGCAGGAGCUGAGCUAUGGGGCUGCGGUGUGGGGCUGCAGCUGUGCUAUGGGGCUGUGCUGUGGGGCAGGAGCUGCGCUAUGGGGCAGGAGCUGCCCUAUGGGUCUGGAGCUGCCCUAUGGGGCUGUGCUACGGGCCAGGAGCUGUCCUACGGGGCUGCAGCUGUGCUAUGGGGCUGCAGCUGUGCUAUGGGGCUGCGCUGUGGGGCAGGAGCUGUGCUAUGGGGCUGUGCUGUAGGGCAGAGGCUGUGCUGUGGGGCUGUGCUGCACUAUGGGGCCGUGCUGUGGGGCAGGAGCUGCGCUAUGGGGCUGAGCUGUGGGGCAGGAGUUGUGCUAUGGGGCUGUGCUGUAGGCAAGGGCUGUGCUGUAGGGCUGCACUGUGGGGCUGUGCUGUGCUAUGGGGCUGUGCUGUGGGGCAGAAGCUGCGCUAUGGGGCUGAGCUGUAGGGCAGAGGCUGUGCUAUGCUAUGGGGCUGAGCUGUAGGGCAGAGGCUGAGCUGCCCUAUGGGGCUGGGCCGUGCUAUGGGGCCGUGCUAUGGGGCCGUGCUAU